GUGAGCCAAUUAUAUGCUACCUUGAUCAUGAAAAAACUGAUACUAUUCAACAUUGAAGUAAAAUUUAUUUAGCAGAGUAAACAUGAAUCUUAAGUCUUUUGGUUAUGUCAACUGUGGAUCCUUAAGUCAAUUGAGUUUCCCUGCAGUUCCAAGAGGAACUUGAACGUGGAGAGAGAUAUUGGGGAUGACAGUGUGAGCUAUGGGAUGACGGAGAUGAUAUCUACUUGCGUUCUUGGACAACAUCAUUGGUCCCCAAAAUGUUCAUCUACUCUUUUAUGGGAGCGGGGGCUUGGCUCCAUGGCAUUACUUUCAUAGGUUGUAUCGCCACAAGUUUUAAACUUUGGUCAAAGUUUUUAAAUGAAUUAUAUCAUGCAAGUUGGAUUGUAUAAACUUAAAUUUUGUUCAAAAGUUUCAGCUCUGGAUUCUAUAUCCUAUACUUUCCUUAACUCUUUGAUAUCUUUAGUAUAGUCUACUCAUAAUGGUACUAACUCUGGUGGAAGCAGCUUUGGUAGCGUUCAUAGCAAUAAAUUGCCAUUGGGACAAGGUGUUGCUUCGUUAACAAUAUUGAAUAUUGUUUCAGUAAUAUCUACAAGGGUUUUCACCGUGCUUGUUUACCCAAUAAAGUUAACAUGUUUUAUCAUGCCUACACGGGAUCUUCCACUUGAGUUAACCGGUGACCUUGAGGGUCUUCGAUCUGUCAUUGAAGAGAACAAUGAAAUCUGUAAGUGGCAUGGGUUGGGAUAGCUGUUGUUGGAAUACAGGCUUUAUCUCUGCUACUAGUAAUAAUUCUACGGGGCAUGAUAUAUACUCAUAAAGCUGACUAUGGUGUUGAAGAUGAGUAUGAUACUAGGGGUAGAACAUGGGAACCACUGCUAAAUCAACAGACAAGCCAAGCAUCUGGAUCAACCAAGGGUGAUGGUAGAGUGACUCACUCUGACAUUUGGAGCUCACGAAUAGGAGAUAAGAUUGCAAGAAUUAUAUGGAACAAUGGCUCAUCUUCAAAACUUUGAUGCCUCAAUUAGCUGAUAUCUCUGGAGGAUUAUCCGCUUGAAGAAUCAUAGCUGUUACAUAAUUGGCUAAUUAAAUUAAAGCUUUUGCUACUUAUAUUUAGUCACUCUAAAUUAGUGUAGUUGCUCUAGAUGGUAGUUUUUUGCCUUAUGAGUUUAUUGAGCAGAUGCUCAUUAGGUUUAUGUAUGAAACAAUUAUGGAUGUAUUUGUUGGCUAUAA